CGGAAAGCCUGACCGAGCGACGCCGCGUGCGGGAUGAAGGCCUUCGGGUUGUAAACCGCUGUCGUAGGGGAGGAAGCGACCGUGAAGAACGGAAGUUGACCGAUCCUAGGAGGAAGCGCCGGCUAAUCUCGUGCCAGCAGCCGCGGUAAUACGAGAGGCGCAAACGUUAUUCGGAAUUACUGGGCUUAAAGAGUUCGUAGGCGGCGCAGAAAGUAGGGUGUGAAAGCCCUCGGCUCAACCGAGGAAUUGCGCUCUAAACUACUGUGCUUGAGGGACCUAGAGGUGAGCGGAACUGAUGGUGGAGCGGUGAAAUGCGUUGAUAUCAUCAGGAACACCGGAGGCGAAGGCGGCUCACUGGGGGUCUUCUGACGCUGAGGAACGAAAGCCAGGGGAGCGAACGGGAUUAGAUACCCCGGUAGUCCUGGCCGUAAACGAUGAGCACUAGGCCGGAGCCCUGCACAGGGUUUCGGCCGUAGCUAAAGUGUUAAGUGCUCCGCCUGGGGAGUAUGGUCGCAAGGCUG
rnacentral:rRNA from 1 species